GACGAACGCUGGCGGCGCGCCUAACACAUGCAAGUCGAACGAGCGAGAGAGAGCUUGCUUUCUCGAGCGAGUGGCGAACGGGUGAGUAACGCGUGAGGAACCUGCCUCAAAGAGGGGGACAACAGUUGGAAACGACUGCUAAUACCGCAUAAGCCCACGGGUCGGCAUCGACCAGAGGGAAAAGGAGUGAUCCGCUUUGAAAUGGCCUCGCGUCCGAUUAGCUAGUUGGUGAGGUAACGGCCCACCAAGGCGACGAUCGGUAGCCGGACUGAGAGGUUGAACGGCCACAUUGGGACUGAGACACGGCCCAGACUCCUACGGGAGGCAGCAGUGGGGAAUAUUGCACAAUGGGGGAAACCCUGAUGCAGCGACGCCGCGUGGAGGAAGAAGGUCUUCGGAUUGUAAACUCCUGUUGUUGGGGAAGAUAAUGACGGUACCCAACAAGGAAGUGACGGCUAACUACGUGCCAGCAGCCGCGGUAAAACGUAGGUCACAAGCGUUGUCCGGAA
rnacentral:rRNA from 1 species